rnacentral:rRNA from 1 species
AUGCAAGUCGAGCGGUAACAUUUCUAGCUUGCUAGAAGAUGACGAGCGGCGGACGGGUGAGUAAUGCUUGGGAAUAUGCCUUAUGGUGGGGGACAACAGUUGGAAACGACUGCUAAUACCGCAUAAUAUCUACGGAUCAAAGUAGGGGACCUUCGGGCCUUACGCCAAAAGAUUAGCCCAAGUGGGAUUAGCUAGUUGGUGAGGUAAAGGCUCACCAAGGCAACGAUCCCUAGCUGGUUUGAGAGGAUGAUCAGCCACACUGGAACUGAGACACGGUCCAGACUCCUACGGGAGGCAGCAGUGGGGAAUAUUGCACAAUGGGCGCAAGCCUGAUGCAGCCAUGCCGCGUGUAUGAAGAAGGCCUUCGGGUUGUAAAGUACUUUCAGCGAGGAGGAAAGGUUAGUAGUUAAUAACUGCUAGCUGUGACGUUACUCGCAGAAGAAGGACCGGCUAACUCCGUGCCAGCAGCCGCGGUAAUACGGAGGGUCCGAGCGUUAAUCGGAAUUACUGGGCGUAAAGCGUGCGUAGGCGGUUUGUUAAGCGAGAUGUGAAAGCCCCGGGCUCAACCUGGGAACUGCAUUUCGAACUGGCAGGCUAGAGUAUGGUAGAGGUAAGUGGAAUUUCCUGUGUAGCGGUGAAAUGCGUAGAUAUAGGAAGGAAUACCAGUGGCGAAGGCGGCCUCCUGGACCAAUACUGACGCUGAGGUGCGAAAGCGUGGGGAGCAAACAGGAUUAGAUACCCCGGUAGUCCACGCCGUAAACGAUGUCAACUAGCCGACUGAAUCCUUGAGAUUUGGGUGGCGCAGCUAACGCAUUAAGUUGACCGCCUGGGGAGUACGGCCGCAAGGUUAAAACUCAAAUGAAUUGACGGGGGCCCGCACAAGCGGUGGAGCAUGU